UACGGAGGUCUCAAGCGUUGUUCGGAAUCACUGGGCGUAAAGCGUGCGUAGGCUGUUUCGUAAGUCGUGUGUGAAAGGCGCGGGCUCAACCCCUGGACUGCUUUGGAAACUGUAUGGCUGGAGUGCAGGAGAGGUAAGUGGAAUUCCUAGUGUAGCGGUGAAAUGCGUAGAUAUUAGGAGGAACACCAGUGGCGAAGGCGGCUUACUGGACUGUAACUGACGUUGAGGCUCGAAAGCGUGGGGAGCAAACAGG
rnacentral:rRNA from 1 species